AAGUCGUAACAAGGUUUCCGUAGGUGAACCUCGCGGAAGGAUCAUUAACACGUAUCCAACGUUAAACAACCCUGUGAACCUUCAUUCGUAGCUCCUCUGGCCCAUGAAAGCAGCAAUCCCUGGUAAAUCAUUGUUGACGUGUCUGAAAGUGUCGUUGAUAAUGUAAGGAUGGCGCAGUAAACGAUUGCUAGAGGCCCACACGGCGGCAACCGGAUCCUGGCUCACGCCCCUUAUCACCCCACAGUUUCCGACUGGGCAGCUGAUAACGGACGCCGUAAAAAACUGAACAACUGUUAACAAUGGAUAUCUUGGUUCUC
rnacentral:misc_RNA from 1 species